UUGGCCGAUAUCUAAAAAUGAAUAACGACAGCUUGUGAGGUUGGAAGCAAGACGGAGUCAGCUAUGUCAGAUUUCUUUCACAGUCAUAAUUUUUGCAAAGGUGGU